rnacentral:lncRNA from 1 species
UGUAGCUGGCCUGGCACACAACAACCCUCCUGCUUAAGACGCUCAAGUCUUAAGAGUUAUAGGUUCGAGUUGCCACGACAGACAACAUUCUAUCUUACUUUAUUAAGUUUUGAGAUAGGUCUUAGGAAUUGGUCUCUACUUCACUAUGUAAUGGAUGGCCUUGAACUUCUUUUUCAAAAUAUUGGGAUGAGAAGUAUAGGCCACCACCCCUGGUUUAUAAGGUGCUAAUGCUCAAACUCAUGACUUCACAAAUACUAGGCAUGUACUCUACCAAACAAACUACACCCCCAGCCUGGCAAGAUUCCAUUUUCCAAAAACAAACAAGCAAACAAACAAAAUACCUGGUCUGUAGGUGAAAGUCUAUUAAAAAAAAAAAAAGCCAAAGCUCUGACUAGGGAGUAGAAUCUUUCAAAUGCCACUAAGACAUCUGUGUAUAGAUCCCAAGUCAGCCUUCUCCCCUGUUCUCACAUCCCAUAGCCAUCAACACCAACUCCCAAGGUAGGAGUGAAAUCUCUGGGCACUCAGCAGAACUCUUGGCCCCACCCAGUGUGUGAGCUGAUGGAUGAGUAGGAUGCUCAGGGAAAGAAAGGUUGGCAAGCGGUGGUCCCACCAAAGCUUUGCUUGUAGACUUGCUGCUGCCUCAGGGAAUUUCAUUCUUGACAUAUGUCAAUAGGUUCAAGAAGAGUUUACAGAUUGUAGGACAGAUUGCCAAGAGCAUCUCCGAAAGAAACUAGCAAAGAUAAGACUCAAAGAAGAGAGUGAGCCAGGAGGGGGGAAAAGAGGUUACAGGGCGAAUUGCUAUAAAAAAGGGUUUCUUCUAAGUCUAUAUCUUGGUCCUUUAAUUCAUAGAAACAUUGCUUCAAUAAAUUCUAUUCCUUUCCCCACAGAGCCUUACUUUUCUCACCUUUCAAGAGAAGGAUUUGAAGACAUUCUUAACUUGGGGUCAUAGACCCUUCCGUCUAGAUAAGACCGUGGCUGUAAGAGAGCAGGAGUCCUCACCCCGGGAAAAUCAUCUUCAAAACUGUUUUAUGUAUUUGCGUAGAGCCAAGAGUUUUUUGCAAGCCAAGUUGUUUUCUAAUGAACUUCUUUAAGAUUUUUGAUCUGGGAUGAAGAGAGAACUCAGACGUUAAGAGCACUUGCCAUUCUUGCAGAAGAGCUGGAUUCGAUUCUCAGCAUCCAUAUGGUAGCUUGCAACCAUUCAGAACUCAGGUUCCAGAGGAUCUUAUGCCCUCUUCUGAACUCCUUAGGCUUUAGGCACACACACUGUGCACAGACAUACUCACAAAAGCAAAACCUCCAAAAUAUAAAAGUAAAAUAGAUAAAUCUAAAUUUAAAAUACU